rnacentral:pre_miRNA from 1 species
UCCCUGAGACCCUAACUUGUGAUGUUACCCACAAUUCACAGGUUAGUUGCUCAGGUACU